rnacentral:misc_RNA from 2 species
CACCCCUCAAGCCUAGCUUGGUGUUGGAGCACUACCGUGUCACAACGGUAGGCUCUGAAAUUCAGUGGCGGGCUCGCUAAGACUCUGAGCGUAGUAGUUACUCACCUCGCUUUGGAAGGAUUAGCGGUGCUCUUGCCGUAAAACCCCCAACUUCUGAA